UACGGAGGGUGCUAGCGUUGUUCGGAAUUACUGGGCGUAAAGAGCGCGUAGGCGGUUUGUUAAGUUGGAAGUGAAAUCCCAGAGCUCAACUCUGGAACUGCUUUCAAAACUAACUUACUAGAGUUAGGUAGGGGAUAGUGGAAUUCCCAAUGUAGAGGUGAAAUUCGUAGAUAUUGGGAGGAACACCAGAAGCGAAGGCGACUAUCUAGGCCUUAACUGACGCUGAGGCGCGAAAGUGUGGGGAGCAAACAGG
rnacentral:rRNA from 1 species